GGAGUUCAGCAGGAUUGUGGGCAAGAACCUCAAGCAGGAAUUCUAUGAGAGCAUCGAUUGGCACAAUCCUUGUCUCCUCGAGUUAUUUUGAUCCAAGAGAGGGAAUGUUGGACAGUUGUUGACACAGAUUUCACAACAGACCAAUACUACAGAGCCAACUGCGAUCCGGACACAGGUGCUCAGAGGGCUUCCUAUCAUCCUUGGGGACAACCCCACAAACUUCUUCAAAGCAGGCUUUGAAUCUGAUGAUGAUGAUUCUUUUCGUGACCUUGACAUUGGGAUACUUCUCAUCGAGCGGGAAGGUGCUGUGCUCACAUCUUCCCAGCAACUCAGUCCAGGUUCGUUGAAAAUCAUCAUUGAGGGAGAAGUUGUGAUGGACAACAUUCAAGAUCUUCCAUAAGAAAUGUGUUUGCUGUUUGGACUCAUGUAUGCACUCCAUCUUAACUACCCCAAGACUAUGAAGCUCACAUUUCAGUUCAUCCAACAGGUAUUGCUCUCGUUAGGCCACACUGACCUAAUGCCGAAGCUACAGACUUUGAAAAAUCAGCUCGCAAUGUAAAGAGAUGUCAAGUCUACUGUAAGAAGCUGUUGACUACAUUUUUUUUUUUUGCCACAACAGUAAAACACUUUCUGACCUGUGGGGUAAACCUAUUUAUUUUAUGUAAAACAAGCGGACGAAC